AAUGUUGAAAACCUAUUGAGGUUUCUACUGACCGUGGCAGAGCUCUUGGCUUGUUGAACGUUGCCACUUCUGGACAUAGACGAUGUUGACACGCUGUAUGUAGACGAUCCGUUGCCAUCAAAGUCCCCCUGGUGACUUCCCCCAACAACCCCGGGCUCGUCAGCCACCGUCGAGGUGUCAUCCCAGUCAUCGUCCCAGUCUUCAUCGCUGCCCUGGCUGGCUUGGUAACCGCGCUGCUGCUGCGCCGGGGCAGGCGGUGAGGACGCUGUCAACCCAGACGAUGUUGAUGAUUUGGACAAGUUUUCAAUUUGAUUUAAUGUUUUAUUUGAGGUGUCCCCGAAAUCUCCGGUUGGAAUAUUGUCGUAUCGGGAUCCCGGCAGGGUCCAGGCCUCCAGAACACUCCCCCUAUCACCUGCUGUACGGACGUCACGUUCUGACCAUAGUUCUACCACGCUGCGUAUUGGUCUGAUCCUUGUUACACCUCUUCAGACGAAGAAGAGGAAGACUGCGGUGACAACGGACCAGAAGCCGCGACUAUUUACUGAGCUAAGCAACCCAAUUGUGUAUAAAUGAUUGCCUAUACUGUAGUAUGAAACAUUUGUGAUUGACUUUGUGUUUUUCUAUUGUUGUUUUUGUCUAAUAUACUUUAUUAUCACUGAUACAAGUUGUUGAACCAGAUCAGAAUACCUUCGAGGACCAUCAAUCAAUCAAUCAAGUUUAUUUUAUAUAGCCCUUCGUACAUCAGCUAAUAUCUCGAAGUGCUGUACAGAAACCCAGCCUAAAACCCCAAACAGCAAGCAAUGCAGAUGUAGAAGCACGGUGGCUAGGAAAAACUACCUAGAAACCACCUUCAAGCAGCGACUGAGAAGGAUGUGGAGGUUUUUGACCAGGUGAGACCGAACAUGGAGAAGGUGCCGGAGAAACAGAAUGAGAGCCACCGGAGGAUAAUCAAGGGGACAAAAUGUUUUGAACAUCCGGACUAAUGCCUUGGUUUGGAAGAAAGACAAAAGGAAGGCGAGUCCUGUGACAACUUCCUGCUGUUUCGCUCCUAGCUGGGCUCACCAUCUGUUUAAGGAGAAUAUAAAAAUCUCACAUUAUAACUAUUUACAUUUUCCUCCUCGUGGUGGACGACAUCGCCAUGCUGUUAACCCCUGGGCCAGUGUUGGUACUGUUAUCUCCAAAUAGUCUCAAGGCCAACCGCUGGGUCACGUCAAGGCCAACCGCUGGGUCAAGUCAAGGCCAACCGCUGGGUCACGUCAAGGCCAACCGCUGGGUCACGUCAAGGCCAACCGCUGGGUCACGUCAAGGCCAACCGCUGGGUCACGUCAAGGCCAA